CUGUCUUCUCUCUCUCUCUCUCUCUUUCUCUCUUUCUUCCACAUUUCUCAUUUUCUUCUUCAUUUGGGAAUCUCUUUUUUUCUUCUAAGGAAUGUUUCUUAUCCUUUGACUUUGUGAGCUAGCCUUUUAGCACUCUUUUGUUUGAAUUAUUUGCCUUAAUAUAAAAUUUUGUUUAUGAUUUUCCUCACUCCCUGGCCCCGCCCCAGCAGUAGUUAAUGGCUUAUUGCCAAACUCUCCCUGUUUACUUUCUGCUAAAGUGUUACCGAAUCUUGUGACUGCAUUUUCUGUUCCCCUUGUAACCACAACUUCUCUAAUUUUUUUUCCUAUUGUAACCACCAAACUCAGAGAAUUUCAAAGUUCACUUUAGUUUGAACAACGGAGAAUAUUUGAUUGAUUUCUUUUUUGGCCAUAUUAAAAACUCCAUUCAACCAACUAAAGCUGAAUUUUAAAUUCAAACCUGUUCUAUCCAACGACUGGAUCUGUUGCUGGGUCUCCUAUUGUUAUUUACCUUCCUUAACAGGGUUAGGUGAGAAGAGAUAAUCACACUAAUGGGGACUGUUCAAGUGUUGCUGCUGGGAUUUUGGAUGACUAUGUUUCUGAUCACUGCAGCACUUCCCUCUGGUUUCACUCCUGCUCAGUGGUUCAAUAAACAACAUGUGCAGUAUCCCAAGACCAAAGCCUCCAGUGACAAUAUAUAUUGCAACAAUGAAAUGAGACAAAUCAACAACCACACCCAUCAAUGUAAGUUUUUCAACACAUUUCUGAAUUACAUGCUUGAGAAUAUCAUCAAGAUUUGUUUCACAACCAAUAUCACCUGUAAGAAUCCAGCAUACAAGAACUGUCAUAAAAGUACAUCAACCAUUCCUGUCACCAACUGUGAAUUGACCAGUGGUCAUUAUCCCGACUGUAGCUACCGUGGCACUUCUAAAAUGGCAUACUUUAUUAUUGCCUGCAAUCCUCCCUUGCCAGCAGAUCAUAGUAGAAGUGAGUUGCUUCCAGUGCAUUUAGACAAAUCUUCUUGAUUUCUACCCUCCCACUAUUUUGCUCUUUUGCUUCAAGAGGCACUAUGGAAAUCUGUUCUCUUGUCUUUGUUCCUCUCCAAAUCUCCAGAAUCCUAUCUUUCUCUUCUAUUAACUUAUCAGAAUUUCUUCUGAAAAAGGUUGCUUUUUAAAAAAAAAUGGAACUCAGCUUACCUUUCUGGAUGGCUUUAUCAGGGCAUAGGAUUCCCUUAUUACUCUUUAACCUGAUACUCUUUGGUGAAAUUGACCUUCCUUAUUGCCCACCCUAGCAAUGAUGUGGAAUGAAAUAGUCAUUUUUCCCCAUUAUCUCUUUAUCUGAUCUGUCUUGCUUAACAUCUUAGAUACAGGUAGAAAGAAAGGGAGGAGAUAGAUAAGUAUCCUUUUAUUCUAGCUUCUUAUCAUUUCUUCACUAUGCUGCUUACACUCCUUUCUUCAUCCUCCAACAAUGUCUUUUUCCACCUCUGGGUAUUCUGACUCUAGGUACUAUUCCCUCAUAUUUCCUGUACUAUAGUUUUGUCUUUUAAAAUAUAAGCUCCUUGAGGGCAAGGAUUAUUUUCUUUGCUUAUGCUUUUAUGCUCAGUAAAUGGCACCUAGUAAUUGCUCAAUAAUUGCUUUUAUAAACCUGGAAAAAUUUGCAUGAACUGAUGUAGAGUGAAGUGAGCAGAACCAGAACAACAAUGUACAUAGUAACAGUAAUACUGUAUGAACUGUAUGAACUACUAUGAAUGACUUAGCUAUUCUCAGCAAGACAAUAAUUCAAACAAUUGCAAAGGACUCAUGAUGAAAAAUGUCAUCCAUCUCUAUAGAAAGAACUGAUCGCAUCUGAAUAUGGCUUAAAGCAAACUAUUUUUCUCUUUGUCUCUCUAUUUUUUCUUCUCUCUUUCUUUGUCUCUUUCUCCACACAAAUGACUAAGAUAGAAAUAAGUUUAAAUGAUUGUACCUGUAUAGCAUUUAUCAGAUUACUUACUGUUUCAAGAAGGGAAAAGGGGGAGGAAGGAAGGGAUAGAAUCUAGAACUCAAAAUUGAAUGUUAAAAUUAUUUUUAUAUAUAGUAUGGAGAAAAUAUUUCUAAAAUUGCUUUUAUGUUUAUAAUCUAUGUAGAAUAUAUCCAGCUAUAUUGUUAUCUAAUUCUGAGAAUGGAAGAAAUUAAUGUUUUUCCUGACUUAAUAUGCCACAGAUGAAGGUGGGAAUGAGGUUUAUCUUCUGCAAGGUAUACUGCAAGAGUUGGACUAAGUCAUGUAUUUUGUGCUGGUUUCAAUAAAUGCCUUGUUUCAUACAA